rnacentral:piRNA from 1 species
UCCAGGUCUGCCAACUACGAGCUGGGAGA